GAUGAACGCUGGCGGCGUGCCUCAAACAUGCAAGUCGAGCGGGGAUUAUGCUUGAUCGCUUCGGUGAGACGGCAUAUAUCCUAGCGGCGGACGGGUGAGUAACGCGUGGGUAAUCUACCUCGUAGUUCGGGAUAACAGGCCGAAAGGCUUGCUAAUACCGGAUGAGUUCAUGCUUAUGCAUAUAGGCAUGAAGAAAGGGCUAGCCCGCUAUGAGAUGAGCCCGCGUCCCAUUAGCUUGUUGGUGGGGUAAUGGCCUACCAAGGCAACGAUGGGUAGCCGGCCUGAGAGGGUGUACGGCCACACUGGGACUGAGACACGGCCCAGACUCCUACGGGAGGCAGCAGUGGGGAAUUUUGGACAAUGGGCGAAAGCCUGAUCCAGCCAUGCCGCGUGCAGGAAGAAGGCCUUCGGGUUGUAACUGCUUUAGUCUAGGAAAAGGGGUAGACGAGGUUAAUAACCCUCGUGCUUUGAUGGUACUGGAAGAAUAAGCACGCUAACG
rnacentral:rRNA from 1 species